UGGGGAAUUUUGCACAAUGGAGGAAACUCUGAUGCAGCGACGCCGCGUGAGUUAUGAAGAUCUUCGGAUUGUAAAACUCUGUCCUUAGUGAAGAUAAUGACAGUAACUAAGAAGCAAGCCCUGGCUAAAUACGUGCCAGCAGCCGCGGUAAUACGUAUGGGGCAAGCGUUGUCCGGAAUUAUUGGGCGUAAAGGGUACGUAGGCGGUUUAAUAAGUCCUAAUUAAAAGGCUAUGGCUCAACCAUAGUAUGGUUAGGAAACUGUUGAACUUGAGUAGAUGAGGGGAAAGUGGAAUUCCAUGUGUAGCGGUGAAAUGCGUAGAUAUAUGGAGGAACACCAAUGGCGAAGGCAACUUUCUGGAAUCAAACUGACGCUGAGGUACGAAGGCGUGGGGAGCAAACAGG
rnacentral:rRNA from 1 species